GACGAACCGUCCAAACGUUGUUCGGAAUCACUGGGCGUAAAGGGUGCGUAGGCGGGGCUUUAAGGCAGGGGUGAAAUCCUGGAGCUCAACUCCAGAACUGCCUUUGAUACUGAGGAUCUUGAGUUCGGGAGAGGUGAGUGGAACUGCGAGUGUAGAGGUGAAAUUCGUAGAUAUUCGCAAGAACACCAGUGGCGAAGGCGGCUCACUGGCCCGAUACUGACGCUGAGGCACGAAAGCGUGGGGAGCAAACAGG
rnacentral:rRNA from 1 species